rnacentral:lncRNA from 1 species
CAGAGAACCCCAGCUUCCUGCGGUAACAGACUAAAGUAGACAAAGUCAUCUCUCACAUGUUAGGGGAGAGAAGUAGUCUGGUAGUGACAUGUGUUGAGUGCAACCAGUGAGUAAUUACUCUGUGCGUGAACUCAGUCAACCCUAUUGAGAUGUGUGAUACUGAUAGCCUCCUUACACAGGUGGGAAAUUGGGGCAUGCAGGAGGGAAGGAAGUUACAGAGCUGCUCAGUGGAGGAACUGAGAUUCAAAUCCAAAGCCAGCCGGCUCCAGAGUGUAAAACACUGGGAAAAGGUCCUUCCAUAGGAGGGGAAACUGUGGCCAAGGAGCCAGAUACUGGGCAGUGUCACUUUAAGGAGAGCUGUAUAAACAGUGAUAUUUAAUGAAGGUGAAAGAAAACUAAGGGAAGAAGACGCUCUUGAUUGGAGAUCGGAGCUCCCCAGUCCAGGCUCAGGGGAUCUGAACCCCAGGGACUGUGCAUUCGCACAGCUUCCACCAUCACUUCUGCUCUGAGGAACUAGCAGAAAGGUCCUGUCCUUGCACAGCCAGAGCUACAGGCUUUGACGGCCGUCCUCCUGUGGGCGCAGAGAGUCUCUCCUGGAGCCCUUUCCAUCACCCUCUUCAAACCUUCCAUCUCUUCUGAGCCCAUUUCCCAUUCACUCAGCUCCCAUCCAGUUUCCACAUCUCUGCGUUGAUACUUUGCACUGGGAGCUCCUCUGACCGUCUACUCUGCUUGCCAGAUGCCCAGCCAACAUUUUCCUUCUCUCCAUGAAACUGCCUCUCAGGCACCUCCUAUUCUCCACCCGGUGCAGGUUGAGGGCGAGCUGCCCCUACCUCCUCACCCAACCCAGACUUCCAAGACCCUGCAACUUGGCUGCCACGGCAGGCUUCUUGUAGAGGAGACACUCAGUGGACUUUACGCCUCUCACACCAGCCUCACUUCUACAUCUCCAAGUGCCCCCCUGACCAUUCCCCCACUAGGAGAGGCUGGCUUCAUUUAGAAAUCUGCAUCUUCAAAAGCAAACUCAUCUUCCCCUGCCUCUGACAUUGGCAUCUCCGUGAUCCCAGUCACCUGACUUAAAGCCUUAGAGUCAUUUUUGAUUCACUCUAAAUAAAUGAAAUGUUCAGUAAGUGACCUUCUCAUUUCAUUUCUUUUUAAAAAUGUCUCCUAUAAUUUGGCUCAUCAGCUCCUCAUUCCGUCCUGGGUGGAUGGGCCUCUUUGCUUCCACACUUUCUC